rnacentral:rRNA from 2 species
UUGACACUGAACACUGGUCCUUGAUGUGUAGGAUAGGUGGGAGGCUUUGAAGUGUGGACGCCAGUCUGCAUGGAGCCAUCCUUGAAAUACCACCCUUUAAUGGCUGGUGUUCUAACGUGGGCCCGUUAUCCGGGUUGCGGACAGUGUCUGGUGGGUAGUUUGACUGGGGCGGUCUCCUCCUAAAGAGUAACGGAGGAGCACGAAGGUCAGCUAAUCCUGGUCGGACAUCAGGAGGUUAGUGCAAUGGCAUAAGCUGGCUUGACUGCGAGCGUGACGGCGCGAGCAGGUGCGAAAGCAGGUCAUAGUGAUCCGGUGGUUCUGAAUGGAAGGGCCAUCGCUCAACGGAUAAAAGGUACUCCGGGGAUAACAGGCUGAUACCGCCCAAGAGUUCAUAUCGACGGCGGUGUUUGGCACCUCGAUGUCGGCUCAUCACAUCCUGGGGCUGAAGUAGGUCCCAAGGGUAUGGCUGUUCGCCAUUUAAAGUGGUACGCGAGCUGGGUUUAGAACGUCGUGAGACAGUUCGGUCCCUAUCUGCCGUGGGCGCUGGAGAAUUGAGGGGGGCUGCUCCUAGUACGAGAGGACCGGAGUGGACGCAUCACUGGUGUUCGGGUUGUCAUGCCAAUGGCAUUGCCCGGUAGCUAAAUGCGGAAGAGAUAAGUGCUGAAAGCAUCUAAGCACGAAACUUGCCCCGAGAUGAGUUCUCCCUGACUCCUUGAGAGUCCUGAAGGAACGUUGAAGACGACGACGUUGAUAGGCCGGGUGUGUAAGCGCAGCGAUGCGUUGAGCUAACCGGUACUAAUGAACCGUGAGGCUUAACCUUACAACGCCGAAG